UUGAACGCUGGCGGCAUGCCUAACACAUGCAAGUCGAACGGUAGCGGACCGCUGGGAUUCCUUCGGGAUGACCUUGGUGCCGACGAGUGGCGGACGGGUGAGUAAUACUUAGGAAUCUGCCCAGUAGUGGGGGACAACUCGGGGAAACUCGAGCUAAUACCGCAUACGCCCCGAGGGGGAAAGCGGGGGAUCUUCGGACCUCGCGCUAUUGGAUGAGCCUAAGUCGGAUUAGCUUGUUGGUAGGGUAAAGGCCUACCAAGGCGACGAUCCGUAGCUGGUCUGAGAGGACGAUCAGCCACACUGGGACUGAGACACGGCCCAGACUCCUACGGGAGGCAGCAGUGGGAAUAUUGGACAAUGGGCGCAAGCCUGAUCCAGCAAUGCCGCGUGUGUGAAGAAGGCCUGCGGGUUGUAAAGCACUUUCAGUAGAGAAGAAAAGCUCAAGGCGAAUACCCUUGAGUCUUGACGUAACCUACAGAAGAAGCACCGGCUAACUCCGUG
rnacentral:rRNA from 1 species